rnacentral:tRNA from 1 species
AGGGCCUUAGCUUAAUAAAAGUGCCUGAUUUGCAGUCAGGAGAUGCGAGUUAUUUUCUUGUAGGUCUUG